GAUGAACGCUGGCGGCGUGCUUAACACAUGCAAGUCGAACGAAGCAAUUUAACGGAAGUUUUCGGAUGGAAGUUAAAUUGACUGAGUGGCGGACGGGUGAGUAACGCGUGGGUAACCUGCCUCAUACAGGGGGAUAACAGUUAGAAAUGACUGCUAAUACCGCGUAAGCGCACAGGAUCGCAUGGUCUGGUGUGAAAAACUCCGGUGGUAUGAGAUGGACCCGCGUCUGAUUAGAUAGUUGGUGGGGUAACGGCCUACCAAGGCGACGAUCAGUAGCCGACCUGGGAGGGUGACCGGCCACAUUGGGACUGGGACACGGCCCAAACUCCUACGGGAGGCAGCAGUGGGGAAUAUUGCACAAUGGGCGAAAGCCUGAUGCAGCGACGCCGCGUGAGCGAAGAAGUAUUUCGGUAUGUAAAGCUCUAUCAGCAGGGAAGAAAAAUGACGGUACCUGACUAAGAAGCACCGGCUAAAUACGUGCCAGCAGCCGCCGUAAGAC
rnacentral:rRNA from 1 species